rnacentral:lncRNA from 1 species
ACUAUCACUUAACCAGAGUUUACGGGGAAGAGACCAGAACACUACUCCUCUAACCAGAGAGAGAGACCAGAACACUACUCCUUUAACCAGAGUUCUACUGGGAAGAGAGACCAGAACACUACUCCUCUAACCAGAGAGAGAGACCAGAACACUACUCCUCUAACCAGAGUUUUACUGGGAAGAGAGACCAGAACACUACUCCUCUAACCAGAGAGAGA